AUUGAACGCUGGCGGCAGGCCUAACACAUGCAAGUCGAGCGGAGCGGCGGACGGGGGAGUAAUGCCUAGGAAUCUGCCUGGUAGUGGGGGAUAACGUACGGAAGCGGGCGCUAAUACCGCAGACGAUCAGGGGAGCCUAGGUUGGAGUAGCUAGUUGGAGGGGUAAAGGCCUACCAAGGCGACGAUCGUUAGGUGGCCUGAGAGGGUGAUCAGUCACACUGGAACUGAGACACGGUCCAGACUCCUACGGGAGGCAGCAGUGGGGAAUCUUCGACAAUGGGCGAAAGUCUGAUCAAGCAAUGCCGCGUGUGUGAAGAAGGUCUUCGGAUUGUAAAGCUCUGUUAUUUGGGAGGCGUUACCUACCCAAUAAGCACCGGCUAACUACGUGCCAGCAGCCGCGGUAAUUC
rnacentral:rRNA from 1 species